CAAAGGAAGUGAUAAUAACUCCUUGGUAGGGUUGUGCUGCCACGGAAGGGGCUGCGCGUCGUGUCUGACCGGGGGCGAUGGCCCAGUCACAGCGACUUCGGAGAAGAUGACGUUCGUCCUCCCUGUGCUGAAGGGCGCCUUCCUCGGUGGGACCCGUGGAGGCGGCUCCGGAGGCGCUGGCAGCGGAACGGCAGGAGGCACUGAUCCCAGCACAGAAUCAUAAGGAUUAAUUAGUCUGCAGCCAGCAGAAAGGAAGACCCUCCCCCCGGAGGAAAGGAGGGAAGCCUUAGAAAUGUCAUCACAGAAGAGUCCCUGCAGUGAUAGAGGACAUCUCAUAUCACCGUGAUGCCGGGGAUCAGCAAGCUGGACCUAACAGGAGAUGCAGUAUGCCAGCGAAGGGCCUCGCGAGAUCAGAAGACGCCGCCGUGGACACCUCUAGCUUCUGACAGUAACAUCUGGGACGCAGAAAUGGACGUGUGAAGAGGUUACAGUAACCAUCAGAGAGGCCAUCAUGCUACAGAUGAGACCUGAGCCUAGACACCGUCCCCACAGUGGCCCUGCUGUCUCCACACCUGCAUCGCUGGCCCGACUUCAUCUCUACCUUGAAAGUCCUCUUCCUCCAGUGAAAUAAGACCAUUUGCUUUUCCCUGCA